GACGAACGCUGGCGGCGUGCUUAACACAUGCAAGUCGAACGGUAAGGCCCUUCGGGGUACACGAGUGGCGAACGGGUGAGUAACACGUGGGUGAUCUGCCCUGCACUUCGGGAUAAGCCCGGGAAACUGGGUCUAAUACCGGAUAGGACUCCUGGCUUCAUGGUUGGGGGGGGAAAGCUUUUGCGGUGUGGGAUGGGCCCGCGGCCUAUCAGCUUGUUGGUGGGGUAAUGGCCUACCAAGGCGACGACGGGUAGCCGGCCUGAGAGGGUGACCGGUCACACUGGGACUGAGAUACGGCCCAGACUCCUACGGGAGGCAGCAGUGGGGAAUAUUGCACAAUGGGCGCAAGCCUGAUGCAGCGACGCCGCGUGAGGGAUGACGGCCUUCGGGUUGUAAACCUCUUUCAGCUAUGACGAAGCGCAAGUGACGGUAGUAGCAGAAGAAGGACCGGCCAACUACGUGCCAGCCGCCGCGGUAA
rnacentral:rRNA from 1 species